AGAGUUUGAUCAUGGCUCAGGACGAACGCUGGCGGCGUGCUUAACACAUGCAAGUCGAACGGUGACCCAGGGCUUGCCCUGGUGAUCAGUGGCAACGGGUGAGUAACACGUGGGCAACCUGCCCCUGACUUCGGGAUAACUCCUCGAAAGAGGAGCUAAUACCGGAUACGACCACUUCGGACAUCCGAUGGUGGUGGAAAGUUUUUCGGUCAGGGAUGGGCCCGCGGCCUAUCAGCUAGUUGGUGGGGUAAUGGCCUACCAAGGCGACGACGGGUAGCCGGCCUGAGAGGGCGACCGGCCACACUGGGACUGAGACACGGCCCAGACUCCUACGGGAGGCAGCAGUGGGGAAUAUUGCGCAAUGGGCGAAAGCCUGACGCAGCGACGCCGCGUGAGGGAUGAAGGCCUUCGGGUUGUAAACCUCUUUCAGCAGGGACGAAGCGAAAGUGACGGUACCUGCAGAAGAAGCACCGGCUAACUACGUG
rnacentral:rRNA from 1 species